CAGCAGCCGCGGUAAUACAGAGGGUGCGAGCGUUAAUCGGAUUUACUGGGCGUAAAGCGUGCGUAGGCGGCUUCUUAAGUCGGAUGUGAAAUCCCUGAGCUUAACUUAGGAAUUGCAUUCGAUACUGGGAAGCUAGAGUAUGGGAGAGGAUGGUAGAAUUCCAGGUGUAGCAGUGAAAUGCGUAGAGAUCUGGAGGAAUACCGAUGGCGAAGGCAGCCAUCUGGCCUAAUACUGACGCUGAGGUACGAAAGCAUGGGGAGCAAACAGGAUUAGAUACCCCGGUAGUCCCUGUCUCUUAUAC
rnacentral:rRNA from 1 species